rnacentral:lncRNA from 1 species
GGAGAGCCGUCGCACCCGAGAGCACCGCCGCCGGUAAGCUUAAGUUUUCUGUAAUUUUUUGGCCCCCCGAGGGCCCUAGAGUUGUUUAAUCGCAAGGGUCGAUGCAAGUGUGGUCGAAUUCGGCCGAAAACGGCCAAACCGAGGCGAAUCGCCGCCGCUUGCGGCGGCGCCGUCGCCGGAGCACGGCGGAGCCGCCGUGCCGGAGUUGCGAUAUUGGCCGAAAGGGGUCCUGGGCCUAAUUUGGGAUUUUUUGGAACACGUGCAGGUACCAGUAGUGCAU